rnacentral:rRNA from 1 species
CCGAAAGGCAUGAGUGCCUGCAAGGGAGCGCGGAGACAGGUGGUGCAUGGCUGUCGUCAGGACGGAUCGUGAGACGCUGGGUUAAGUCCCGCAACGAGCGCAACCCUCACCUCGAGUCGCCAUCAGGUCGAGCUGGGCACUCUAGAGGAACUCUCCCGGUCAGCGGGGAGGAAGUCGGGGAUGCAGUCAGCUCGUCAGGCUCCCUGCGUGGAAGGCGGCCCGCGAGCUCCAAUCACCGGAACAAAGGGACGCCACACCGCGAGGUAGACAGAAACCCCAAAAGCCGGUCUAAGUUCGGAUGGGAGUCUGCAACUGGACUCCAUGAAGGAGGAAUCA